UCGGUGCGUCUGUGAGGAAGAGGGGUUUUCUCAGGGGGCCGGCUCGAGGGGGAAAUGGCCCAAGGGUGGCGCGGGCACAGGCCGCCGGCGCCUGAGGAGGACGGGCCUUGUCGGUUCCCCCCUCGGCCCUGCCCGGGCGGGAUCCCCCCCCUCACACCGGGCUCGACCCCGGUAGCAGAGCCCCGGGCCCGGGGGGGUACAUUGGGCGAAGCAUCAGACUGGCAAGAACAAAAGAAAGAGAGUUAGAAUAUGCUGAAAUAGGGAAUACUGUAACUUGAAAAAAAAGUCCUAAGUCAAAACAAACCCAGAGACCACCAACAAAAAUAUUUGGACGUUUUGAAGACCCAAGGCCCUGAGCAACCUGAUCCGAGCUCAACAGAGAAUUUACUUUAAGCAAGAUGAUGGACCUGCUGAGGCCCCUUCCAGCUACAAUUACUUCACGGCUCUGAUCAGCUGGAAGGCCGGGCUGUGUGUGUUCACACAAACGCCAGCUAUUUCCUGUCCUUCACGGGCGCUCGCUUCCUUUCCUGCGCUCAUUCUGUGCCUUCCACAGCAAUGGCUUCAUGGUGUAUUGCUGAUCUGUGACCUGCUCUUCUCUACUGCAGACUUCUGUUUGGAAAUUACUACAGCUUUUCAGUUUACAGGGGCUCAUUGCAGUCCCGGAGCUACCGGCAGUGACCAAUGAGGCUGUGGGCAUCUCUGCUCAUCCAGAAAGAAUAUUACAGACACGAAACUUGAUGGUAUCUCACAGCAAUGAAGACACCCAGAAGAAACUGGGAUGAAGCUACACCAUCACCUCAAAGGCCUGUCCUUGCUCAGGGGAACAAGUCACACAACUCCCUCACCAGCAGAAGGAAGACUUGACGUAUAUUAUUCUCCCAUGUUUCAGUUAACAAUCUUGAAGACAGACGUUGCAUCAAAAGCAUUAUGUGAUGCUUUUAGGAUGACUUGAAUUUCCUGGUGUCUAGUUCAGCAGUAGCAACUGCCAAGCACCUGCCCAGUUUGAAAGCCAAGACCCAGAGAGGAGCGGGAAGUCGCGGUGGCAUCGCCCUGCUGGAAUGGGGACUGCGGCUCCAGGAGCCAGGGCACUUCUCAAGAAUGAGAAGCCAAGAGGAAUUGCCUGUUCCCAGUAUCCUGGUACAGAAGGAGCUAGCAACCACCAGAGAGAUGAUAGAGAGCGAGCUUAAGGAGCGAUCUUCCUGGGAUGUGGAGACCAGGUAAGCAAGAAGAUCAAAACAGAGGCGCUGUGGUUGUAAGUCACACGUUAUUAGGAAAUGUAUUUCAAAGAUGCCACUUCAUUUCUGUUGCCUGCAGGGGAGUU